GAUGAACGCUGGCGGCGUGCCUAAUACAUGCAAGUCGAGCGAACGGACGAUGAUCUUGCUUCUCUGUUGUUAGCGGCGGACGUGUGUGUCACACGUGUAUAACCUACCUAUCAGACUGGGAUAACUUCGGGACACCGGAGCUAAUACCGUAUAAUAUUUUGAACCGCAUGGUUCAAAAGUGAAAUACGGUCUUUCUGUCACUUAUAGAUGGAUCCGCGCUUCAUUAGCUAGUUGGUAAGGUCACGGCUUAGCAAGGCAACGAUGCCUAGCCGACCCGAGAGGGUGAUCGGCGACACGGGAGCGGAGACAGGGUCCAGACGACUAAGAGAGGGAGCAGUAGGGAAUCUUCGGCAAUGGGGGAAAGCAUGACGGAGCAACGGGACGUGAGUGAUGAAGGUCUUCGGAUCGUAAAACUCUGUUAUUAGGGAAGAACAUAUGUGUAAGGAACUGUGCACAGAGUGACGGUAACUAAUCAGAAAGCCACGGCUAACUACGUG
rnacentral:rRNA from 1 species